UAGGCGGCCACAAUCCAGUCGUUCCCGUCGGGCCAGUUGUGAGAGGGCAGAGGUAGGAGCAGGUGAAAGCCACAGAAGGGAGGGAGGAAGGGACACAGCCGGCCGGCGAGAAAGCGAACACAAAGCCAAGAUGACCGUCUGACGCUAAAUGGAUGCAAUCGCACUGAGAUGACUCGGCAAAGACCCACCCUAUUGCCGACCGCCUCCCCAAACAUAACGUGCACCCCUACGGAGACACUCUCAUCAGCAAUGAAGGCAGGCUCGGUGCAGUCUCGUGAUGCUGGGGAUGUGAGCGUUAUGGAGCCUGAUGUCCACGUUGAGAACCCAGCAGACGUCAGUUUUUACCACAAGGUUUCACCGCACAAUGUCAAGUUCUACACAUAUGGCCAUAAGAUGCAGACAAGACAGAAAGUUGUGAGCAACUAUUCAACAGUGACUAAGGGAUCAUCAACAGCAGCCAAACCCAGAGCUGCGCUCAAACAAGUUUUUCUCAACCAGGGAGUGUCUGACAGGAACCUAACAGCAGAGCUGGACGUGCUGAAGCAGGAGCUGGAGGCCUUCGCGGUGCCCGUCAGCCUCAAGUGGCGAUGGAGAGAGGAGCGCUGUGGAAGCACGCUGGAGAGGAACUGGACUGACAUUGUGAAAUCUCACUCUCUCAUGUCUCGGGUGCAGAGGCACCAGCAGGAAGCCAUGUGGGAGUUUGUGCACACCGAACUCAACUACAUCAACAGACUUAUUAUCAUCAAAGACUUGGUUAUUGCAGCUCUGGUGAACCUGCACCUUCGUGGCUUCCUCCAGGAGGUGACCCCCGAGCUGCUUUUCUCCAACCUUUCUACCAUCCUCAGCGCACACCAGCUGUUCUGGCAGGAAGUGAUUUACCCCAUGUUACAGGAAGUGCGCUCGACAGGCAAGCCCUUUAACCCAAUAUGGUUGGAGACGGGCUGCCUCCAGUUCCGUGAACGCUUCUCACCGUACUGCCAUUACUGUGCAGAAGAGGAAAACAGCUUUGAGUUUGCACGCCAACAAAUGGAGAGCAACCCACAUUUCUUCACAUAUGUGCAGUGGGUGGAGACCCACCCGCAGUGCACACGGAUGCGCAUUGGGGACAUGCAGGCCAAACCCCACCAGAGGAUCACCAAGUACUCCCUCCUUCUCAAGGCAGUGCUCAAGACCACCCAGGACCCACGUGUGCAGCGCAGCCUGAGAAACAUGAUAUCCAGCAUCAACAAUUUUCUGGAGAGCAUCAAUGAAUAUCUGAGGCUGAAGGACGAGGAGGUGGCGCUGUCCAUUUCUGCUCAGAGACUGGAGGGCUACGAGCUGGAGGGAAUAAAUGAGGAAAUUGACAAGCACGUACGAGAGAUCUGCCAGUUCGACCUGACGUGCCCCAUCAGAGGGGUCGGUCGUGGGGUCGUACGUAAGCUGCUCUUGGAGGAGAACCUAAAGAUCCGCGGCAGAAAAGACAGCAAACUGGAGGUGGUGGCGCUUCUAUUCUCCGAUGUGCUUCUCAUGACCAAAGUGCAGAAGAAAGUAGAGCGACUGAAAGUGGUUCGGCCUCCUCUGGCCCUCGACAGAACGUACUGCAUUGCGCUGAAGGAUAGCUGUUCGUUUCUUCUGGUGGAGGUGGGGGAGCUUUGGUGUCCUGUCAAUGUCUACAUAUUUACAGCCAGCACCUCUGAAAGCUGCUCCACUUGGGUGUCGGCCAUUCAUCAGGCAAAGGUAACACUGAGGAACUUGCGGGAGGCUGAGAGUAGACAGUCUGAGGCAAAAGAAAGAUCUGCACUUGUUGACGGAGCACGUGACUCAAAGAUAAAAGAACAAGCUCUUAUCUCUGAAAAAGAGGCUUUUGUGGAGGACCCCGCCCUUGAACGCAUCGUUACUCAGUUGGUAAAUGGUGGUCAUGCAUUUAAAGAAAAUCCCAACAAUCAUGUUGAAGACAAUGGCUGGAGCGAAGGAGGAGAAGAAAGUGGGAGUCAGUUCUCAACAAAUGCUUGGAAACACAUGGGUCUAUCUGUUGCUAAUAUGAACCAAGAUCACAUGUCUGUAGAUGUCAUGGAUCAAUUGCGGCGCAUCACCCCCAGAUUGAAUACUGUGGUUCCAGGUGGCUAUCCGGCUGUUGACUACCCGACAGAGGAACUGAACACCUCACGGAUUGCUCAAACUGGUCAAACACAACCAUCCAAGAAGGAGGCAGAGUUAGCGGGAGAUGCCAGGAUACUGACUUCACAACCUAUUAAUCAUUCCACGGUGGAAAAACACAAUCCUGCACAGUUGGGAGGCUCAGCGUCACAUCCUGAGACCAAAGGGUUCCCAAGAGCUCUCAAGUCUCCCAUGUCACGAAAGAGGAGGACGGACACUGGCCACCAAGGCCCCUCAGCUCAGACGGUGCAUGGUUCAGGGUGGUCGGAAUCCAACAACUCUUCCUCCAACUCUGACUCUGACUGCAGCGUAAAUACGAAGAGUUCAAAAUCUCACAUUGUGCUGAAGCUGAGUGCUCUGAAGCCAACCCGGGGGACGUUUUGGAUUAACGAUGUCAGAGUGUCGCCGGAGACUGAAAUCUUUUCUGAACCUGAAAUGAUGGAUCUUAACGUUAACAAUAAAAAGCUCAGACUGAAAGCCCAGAGGAGUGCUUCCAUUCAUAACGUGGCUACACAACAGGAGCAAAGGUUUCUCUAUCUGGACCGCUCUACUGACAUGUCUGCUUCUCCCGCAUCUCUGGAGAAUCUUCUGCAGAGAGCCAAAGUUAGAGAAAGAGACUGGGAAACUGCAAAGAGCAACAAAAACGUGCAACUGGCCAAUUUAAAGCCGAAGCACUGUCCUACUCCGUCUCCAUUGACGUCAAGCUCGCCAUCGCAGUCCCAGAGUGACGGAGACCGAGACGCGGAGUGGGAGGACGAGGUGCAGCUGCAGAGGCACCGGGCCCUCAGGGUGAGUCAAGGAUGGAGGGAGCAGCUGGUGGAUGGAGGUGGCGACAACAAGCUGGACAGUCCUCUCUUUACAAAUGGCGAGAAUGUGGAUUGGACCGGUUGGUGCUUUGACGACGAGGAGGUGAUGGACUAUUUGCAUCCAGGAGCUGAAGGACUCCUCGAGUACAUCAAUCAGUCUUUGACUCUCUGUGAAAUUUCCGACCAGGAAGACGACCUGUGCAGUCGAGUGGAGGAUUUCCGUGGCGUGCAUUGUGCAAAACAACAUCGGUUUGGCUAAGGACCCCCGAAAAUGGCACCUACGAAGAGACACGCUUACAAAGCACAGUUUAAACUGCAAGCUAUCAGUUAUGCGGAGGAACACGGGAAUCGAGCAGCCGCGAGACAAUUCAAGAUCAACGAAUCCAUGGUUCGCAAGUGGAGGAAGGAGGAAAACGCCGGCAUCAUUGCUCAAUAGGACCGCGGCAACGAAACUGAAUCCGACAAUGACGAGAGGGAACCCGGCAUGUUUGAUGGAGAACUUGCCCAGCUGUUCAUUUCGGAUAGAGAACAUGAGGACUUUGGUGGAUUUGUAGAUGAGGAUUGAUCAAAAAAUAACGCGUCCUUCUGUGCCGUAAAACUGACACACCCAUUCGCCCCCGUCCUCGUGGGACACCUCGCUUACGCGGAGAGUCUUUCCCUCCUGGAUGGACUUCACCAAGCGGGUGCCGCUGAGGUCGUAGGUAACGUGGACCCACUGGUAGCGGGUGACCUCACUCGUGUCCGUCAGCUGACAGGUCAGUGUGACCGUUUCCUUCCGUGUGAUGCUGCGAUCAACUGUGGACACACAAGUUGAUUAGAUUGGAUUUAUCCUGAAAGACAACAACAAAGAGGAUCAUGCAACUCACUUUUAGCCACAAUCAGCUGCACUUUCCGAGACAGGCUUUGUCCUUCAACAACCCCGGCACAUAUGUACGUUCCGUCAUCCUCGAGACCAAUUUCUUUUAAACCGGCCGAAUGGUCCCAAGUAGGCCGAUAAGUAGGGGAGAAAGAGCAGAAGGAGGGAGGAAGGGGAUCAGAACCUGGUUUCGAGAGAGAGUCAGGCUUGAGUUUCUGCCAGGUGGCCUCAGACGGGUUUAAACCGGUGGAGAACACGCAGGGGAGCGUGGCUGCAGAUCCCGCCGCCGCGUAGACCUUUGUGUCAUCUCUGGAUGGAUGGAUGAUUCCUACAAUAGGAGGGGAACUUUAAAAUAAUGGUCAUCUUUUAUGGAGUAUAGUAAUCCCUCACGUUUCGCUAUUCGAGAAUUCACCUUUUUGUGUAUUUUUAUUUUUACAAAUCAUCAGUAAGCCGUUUAUUUUUUUAUGGUCACGUAAGAUGAGUUUGAAAUGAUCACAGUUUGUAAUAUAAUACAGUCAGUAAUAUUAUUUGUUUUUCACAGAGGAUAAAAAUGUAUGCCUGUAUUGUUAUAUUGUCUGUCUAUAUGUGUUGCUGCACCAUUUGUGCGCAAAUAUCCAUUGCUUACAGUGUUAUGAUUACCGCAACAUUGAUGCUAGUUUAGUUCGCCCAUCCAUGGUGUUUUGCAUUGUGUGUUAGCAUUACGUAGCGGACUUUUGUCAGGCAAAAUAAGGUGGUUUGUUGAAAUACACAAGAUGCAAUUCUCUUUGUUGUAUGUUUAGUUUUCCAGUAAACCUCAACUGAGUGGGAAUAAACGACUUCCGGCCUCUUU